rnacentral:rRNA from 1 species
ACGAACGCUGGCGGCGUGCUUAACCCAUGCCAGUCGCACGGAAAGGCCCUGCUUUUGUGGGGUGCUCGAGUGGCGAACGGGUGAGUAACACGUGAGUAACCUGCCCUUGACUUUGGGAUAACUUCAGGAAACUGGGGCUAAUACCGGAUAGGAGCUCCUUCUACCUGGUGGGGGUUGGAAAGUUUCGGCGGUUGGGGAUGGUUUGGCGGCUUAUCAGCUUGCUGGUGGGGUAGUGGCUUACCAAGGCUUUGACGGGUAGCCGGCCUGAGAGGGUGACCGGGCACAAUGGGACUGAGAUACGGCCCAGACGCCUACGGGAGGCAGCAGUGGGGAACAUUGCGCAAUGGGCGGAAGCCUGAUGCAGCAACGCCGCGUGCGGGAUGACGGCUUUCGGGGUGUAAACCGCUUUCGCCUGUGACGAAGCGUGAGUGACGGUAAUGGGUAAAGAAGCACCGGCUAACUACGUG